AACGAAAAUGUAGGCAUAAGUAACGAGAAAUAAAUUAAAAUUUUAUUCACCGAAUAACUAAGGUUUCCUGUUCAAUGCUUGACAUAGCAGGGUUAGUCGGGACCUAAGGCGAACUCGAAGGAGGUAGUCGAUGGAUAUCAGGUUAAUAUUCCUGAACUAGCUAGUAAGGACGCUGAUUUAAGGUGCACAUAUCUGACGGAAUAGAGAAGUGGAGGUUUUACCGAAGCGCGUGCAUUGAUUUUCAGCCAAGAAAAGCUACUAGCAUUAAACCCGUACCGCAAACCGACACAGGUAGUUGAGGAGAGAAUCCUAAGGUGAACGAGAUAAUCAUGGCUAAGGAACUAGGCAAAAUAGUCC
rnacentral:rRNA from 1 species